AUAUAUGGGUUUUUUUUUGUUUUAAUUGGGUUUAUUCUUUAAAGCUAGGCUUUGAAAUCUGCUGCAUGCAGCAGCUUCUCUUUAGCCCUUCGCGUGGAGGGAGGUCGUCUCCCCUCUUUGAUCAGUGGGUUUUCCUUCCUACUGGCGGAUAAGGGUAUAAAUGGUUCUGAUGAUUAGAGCAACAAGUGAUGAAUGAAGAAGAUCUUCUGGCACAAAAUGAAAGAUCUUAGCAAACUUGCUCCGGCUUGAGUAGCUUAAUAGUUUUGUUGCAUGUGGUUCCUUCUUGUUAUGGUUGUUGAAGGUUGACUUUGGAAGCUGCAUGUGUCAGAGAAUGCUUAGUUUUUCUCUGAUCUAGCAUGGAACCGGUCGUCUGGUGGGCAGCUCAUAGGGUGCGAUUUGGUAGAUCAGCCUGGAAGGUGCAAAUGGGACACUAAAGAGACCCAUCGCCGACGUUCUAUGCUUGCUGUGGUGUCGAUGCAUAACUUCAAUGGUGCCUAACCUCUUAGCCUGGGGUUCAACAGCUCUCUAAAUCCAUGAAGCUACAUGAGAAGACUUUGCCAGCAGGCUCCUUUGAUCUUUAGUAUUUUUUCUAAGUCUUUAAUGGCAUCAGUAAUUAGGGAGAUAAGUUGUUUUCUUCGCUAAUCAUGGCUAUGGGCAUCUUCUCAAGCAACAAAUAGUGGAAGGUUCAGCUACAUUUUGGUAUAUUUUUUCAUAUUUUUUGGGUCAAAUUUGUAAGGUAGUUCACCCAAUUGGAGUGUGGGAUUCUGGCCAUAUGGGACCUAAAUUUAGUGGGCUUCAUUGAAAAUUUUUAAUUAUGAACUCUCCUGUAUCUGGGCUCUAGGCCUUUUAAAUUAAUGAAUCAAUGUUCCAUCAUUCGAUAAAAAAAAAAAAAAAAAGCAAGCAUAUAUAUAGAUAUGCCAUAUAUAAAUGUGUGUGUUCAUGGUGAAAAA